rnacentral:lncRNA from 12 species
GUCCUGCCUGUGCAGGCCCAACCAUGGGAUUUCCUGGCUACCAGGAGCACAGAACCCUACGAGGAGGGCCUUUGGGUAAAGCAGCACCUAGAGUUGAUGAGGAAAUCAUUUACUGAUUGACAGCCUAACAGAUCCGAACCUCCCCAAUGGUGUCAGCACUGGCAUUCUAACCAGGUAUGUGGCAGUAAUUAUAGUAGUGGAACUGGAACUCAGGGGAUUCAGUAUUACUUGCAAAUGUAGGUAACUG